rnacentral:rRNA from 1 species
UACAGAGGGUGCAAGCGUUAAUCGGAGUUACUGGGCGUAAAGGGCGCGUAGGCGGUUAGUUAAGUGAGAUGUGAAAUCCCUGGGCUUAACCUAGGAACUGCAUCUUAUACUGGCUAGCUGGAGUACAGUAGAGGGUAGCGGAAUUUCCGGUGUAGCGGUGAAAUGCGUAGAGAUCGGAAGGAACACCAGUGGCGAAGGCGGCUAUCUGGACUGAUACUGACGCUGAGGCGCGAGAGCGUGGGGAGCAAAC